CACACGCAAGGCGAGGGGCAGCGGAGAGGAAGCAACACCGCCGCCGGCGACCGGCGCACGGGAGAGAAACACGAACGCAACCCACCAGAAACAGGGGGACAACCCGGAGAAACCCGGACAAACACCCCAAAAGAGGGGCGCCCCGCAAGGAGAACCCAAAAAAGAGAGCAAGGGGGGCAACAGACGAGCACGCGCACCAACAGCCAGGGGGCGGGGAAACGGCCCACCAAGGCGACGAAGGAGAGGGGAACAGAGAGGACGGCCCCCCACAAAGGAACAGAGACACGGUCCAAACCCCGACGGGAGGCAGCAGUGAGGAAUAUUGGUCAAUGGUCGGCAGACUGAACCAGCCAAGUCGCGUGAGGGAAGACGGACAAAAAAAUUGUNNCCCUCUUUUGUCGGGGCGUNNNGUUCGCUNCGUGUNGCGUNUUGCNNGUUUCCGNNGNNNNNGCUUCGGCUNNCUCCGUGCCNGCCGCCGCGGUNNUUCGGNGGNUGCGNGCGUUUUCCGGNUUUNUUGGGUUUNNNGGGUGCGUNGGCGGCUCGCCCNGUCUGCGGUGNNNUUUCCGGGCUCUNCCCGGNGUGUGCCGUUGNNNCUGGCGNGCUUGUGUNCUCUUGNGGCUGGCGGNNUGCGUGGUGUNGCGGUGNNNUGCUUUGNUUUCGCGCUGUNCCCCGUUUGCGUUGGCUGCCUGCUAGGGUGAAACAGACGCUGUGGCACGAAAGCGUGGUCUCGAACAGGAUUAGGAUACCCUGGUGUCCACGCUGUCCCCCCAAAAGGGGAACUGUUUGCGAUACAAUGUAAGCGGUACAGCGAAAGCGUUAAGUAUUCCACCUGGGGAGUACGCCGGCAACGGUGAAACUCAAAGGAAUUGACGGGGGCCCGCACAAGCGGAGGAACAUGUGGUUUAAUUCGAUGAUACGCGAGGAACCUUACCCGGGCUCAAACGCAGGGGGAAUGUCGGUGAAAGCCGGCAGCUAGUAAUAGUCACCUGCGAGGUGCUGCAUGGUUGUCGUCAGCUCGUGCCGUGAGGUGUCGGCUUAAGUGCCAUAACGAGCGCAACCCCUAUCGACAGUUACUAACGGGUGAAGCCGAAGACUCUGUCGAGACUGCCGGCGCAAGCCGCGAGGAAGGUGGGGAUGACGUCAAAUCAGCACGGCCCUUACGUCCGGGGCGACACACGUGUUACAAUGGCAGGUACAGAAGGCAGCCAGUCAGCAAUGACGCGCGAAUCCCGAAAACCUGUCUCAGUUCGGAUUGGAGUCUGCAACCCGACUCCAUGAAGCUGGAUUCGCUAGUAAUCGCGCAUCAGCCAUGGCGCGGUGAAUACGUUCCCGGGCCUUGCACAAAGCGCCCGUC
rnacentral:rRNA from 1 species